CUCUCCAUCCCCUUGAGGUUGGGCAUAGAUGUGUGACAUGCUUUGGUCAAAGCAUUGUGAAGAAAUACACAGGUAUAGUCCUUCCUGAAAUCAGAAAGAUGGGAAAGAAGACUUCUCAUGGACCCUUUCAGUCCCAGCAUUCUACGUUUUUACAAGUGUGAAAUGCAGAUCUAGCUGCACUAGCCCUCUGCAGAUGGAAAGCACACUAAUGAACUAAGCCAGAGAAGGACCUCAGGGCAGGAGGAGAUCAGAAGUCAGUGAAGCAUCAGUGAACUCCAGGAAAGCUAGUGUCACAUGGGAAUCACCUUCCUUCUCCUCAAGUACAUUUACAUUAAGAUUAUGUUUUUCGGACUUUCCUGGUGCAGUGGUUAAGAAUCCGCCUGCCAAUACAGGGGACACGGGUUCAAUCCCUAGUCAGGGAAGAUCCCACAUGCCUUGGGGCAACUAAGCCCGUGCACCACAACUACUGAGCCUGCGCUCUAGAGCCCACGAGCCACAACUACUGAGCCUGCAUGCCACAGCUACUGAAGCCCGUGUGUCUACCGUGCGUCUAGAGCCCGUGCUCCGCAACAAGAGAAGUCACCGCACUGAGAAGCUGGCGCACUGCAGCGAAGAGUAGCCCCCGCUCGCCACAACUAGAGAAAGCCUGCGCACAGCAAC